GCCCUUAAGUCUGGGGAUACCAUUUGGAAAACAGAUGCUAAUACCGGAUAAAAGCUACUUUCGCAUGAAAGAAGUUUAAAAGGCGGCGUAAAGCUGUCGCUAAAGGGAUGGGACCUGCGAUGCAUUAGCUAGUUGGUAAGGUAACGGCUUACCAAGGCGAUGAUGCAUAGCCCGAGUUGAGAGACUGAUCGGGCCACAUUGGGGACUGAGACACGGCCCAAAAACUCCUACGGGGAGGCAGCAGUAGGGAAUCUUCCACAAUGGACGAAAGUCUGAUGGAGCAACGCCGCGUGAGUGAAGAAGGUUUUCGGAUCGUAAAAGCUCUGUUGUUGGUGAAGAAGGAUAGAGGUAGUAACUGGCCUUUAUUUGACGGUAAUCAACCAGAAAGUCACGGCUAACUACGUGCCAGCAGCCGCGGUAAU
rnacentral:rRNA from 1 species